AUUGAACGCUGGCGGCAUGGCUAAAAACAUGCAAGUCGAACGCGAAAAGGGGGGCAACCCCGAGUAGAGUGGCGAAAGGGCGAGUAAUACGUUUCUAACGUACCCCAGACUCGAGGAUAGCUCACCGAAAGUGAAUUAAUACUCGAUGACGCACAAGGGUUGUAUGACCCGUAGUGCCAAAGGCUUGCUGGUCUGGGAGCGGGGAACGUCCUAUCAGGUAGUUGGUGAGGUAACGGCUCACCAAGCCUAUGACGGGUAGCGGGUGUGAGAGCACGGCCCGCCGCAUCGGGACUGAGACACUGCCCGGACUCCUACGGGAGGCUGCAAGUAACGAAUAUUCCGCAAUGCGCGAAAAGCGUGACGGAGCGAUGCCGCGUGC
rnacentral:rRNA from 1 species